AACACAGCGAAAGUUGUACUAAUACCGCAUGAGACCACAGUAUCGCAUGGUAGAGGGGUCAAAGGAGCAAUCCGGUGAAGGGUGAGUUCGCGUCCGAUUAGAUAGUUGGUGGGGUAACGGCCUACCAAGUCGACGAUCGGUAGCCGACCUGAGAGGGUGAUCGGCCACAUUGGGACUGAGACACGGCCCAAACUCCUACGGGAGGCAGCAGUGGGGAAUAUUGGGCAAUGGGGGAAACCCUGACCCAGCAACGCCGCGUGAGGGAAGAAGGUUUUCGGAUCGUAAACCUCUGUCCUAGGUGAAGAGAAAGAGACGGUAGCCUAGGAGGAAGCCCCGGCUAACUACGUGCCAGCAGCCGCGGUAAUACGUAGGGGGCGAGCGUUGUCCGGAAUGAUUGGGCGUAAAGGGCGCGUAGGCGGCCCGGUAAGUCUGGAGUGAAAGUCCUGCUUUUAAGGUGGGAAUUGCUUUGGAUACUGUCGGGCUUGAGUGCAGGAGAGGUAAGUGGAAUUCCCAGUGUAGCGGUGAAAUGCGUAGAGAUUGGGAGGAACACCAGUGGCGAAGGCGACUUACUGGACUGUAACUGACGCUGAGGCGCGAAAGUGUGGGGAGCAAACAGGAUUAGAUACCCUGGUAGUCCACACUGUAAACGAUGAAUGCUAGGUGUAGGGGGUAUCGACCCCUUCUGUGCCGCAGUAAACAC
rnacentral:rRNA from 1 species